rfam:Ophiophagus hannah scaffold5475.1, whole genome shotgun sequence.
GUGGGCUACGGUGACAUGAGCCCCAUCACCGUGGGAGGAAAGAUUGUGGGCUCCUUGUGUGCCAUCGCCGGCGUGCUCACCAUCGCCCUGCCCGUGCCUGUCAUCGUGUCCAAC